AUAUUUUUGUUAUACAGAGCUCAACAGUCCUGCCCCUCCUCCGAGAGACCUUGGGUUCCAGAAGUAAAUUUCCCAUAUAUUUUUCCCAUUGACAUCUGG